UAAAGAAGUAGUGAAAAUACAACUGAAGGG
rnacentral:piRNA from 1 species